CACGUAGGGCGCAAGCGUUUGUCCGGAAUUAUUGGGCGUAAAGAGCUCGUAGGCGGUCUGUUACGUCUGCUGUGAAAACCCAGGGCUUAACCCUGGGCUUGCAGUGGAUACGGGCAGACUAGAGGCAGGUAGGGGAGAAUGGAAUUCCCGGUGUAGCGGUGAAAUGCGCAGAUAUCGGGAGGAACACCGGUGGCGAAGGCGGUUCUCUGGGCCUGACCUGACGCUGAGGAGCGAAAGCGUGGGGAGCAAACAGG
rnacentral:rRNA from 1 species